rnacentral:lncRNA from 1 species
GAGACGAAGUCGUUUUACCUUUGGGGAAGAUACACCUAAACCAAAGAGCACUACCGGGGCGAUAAUCUUCUUGCGGGAAGAGAUUCAUCUCGACUCGACUUAUUUUAUACGUAUAAUUUAUUUAUACAGUAUAUUUCAGUUGUAUAAAAUUAUUUGAGUUGUAAUUUCUCAAAUUAUUCUCUUUUGUAAUAUUUUCAAUUAUUUUGAGUUGUAAUAUCUCAAAAUAUUUAUUUUGUAAUAUCUCGAUCGUGUACCCGGUAGCAACAUUUUCCAGAUCUUCAACAUAAGUUUCCGAAUUUAUAUAAUUUAUGUUCAUUGGCCAUGGAUAUAAUCUGCCAAUUUUUCAAAUCUUUCACAUAAGCUUCCGAAUUAAUGUUCAUUGGCCAUGGAUAGCUUCAUAAUCGGCCAAUUUUUCAAAUCUUUCACAUAAGCGUCCGAAUUAAUUUUUCAGAUCUUUCACAUAAGCUUCCGAAUUAACUGAGUAUGAAGACGGCGAUGAGGUUGUCGUGUAUGUGUCAAAUGAAGAGAUUUGUCAUGCGAAGUUGAUGCAAGAGGUGCAUGAUCAAUUAAACGAAAAUGAACGAUCCACUUAUAUGCUUUUCUACAUAUCGACCACGGACGAAGGGCGAAAAAUAAAAGUGGCUUUGAAGGCCGAUUUAGAUUUGAACCGACUGAUUUUCGAGCAGAAGAAAUAUCUUGUUGUUUACGUGAUCGAGAAGGGCAAACAAUCUACGGCUCCGGUUCCUCAAAAUCAGGAGCGGGUAUAUUAUGAGGGACAACGUUCUACUGUGUUUCCUAUCGAGACAGACGUUGGGAGCUUUGACUGGAACGUACUUCAUUCACAACUUGCACUCUUCGUCCAAUUGAAGGCUGUUUAGUUUUGAAAAUAUUGUAUCAUUAAAGAUCUAUUAAUACAAAUAUUUUCAUGAAAAGUAAUGCAAAGUAAGAUAUACCAUAAGAUACACAUUUCCAGUAUCGGUGUGCAACAAACCAAGGCCUGAGCUCACUCUUGCUGGUCUUUCUUGGUUUGAAGUGCUUC